GCAUUUUCUUUCACCGUAGCUUGCUACACCGAAAGAAAAUGAGUGGCGAACGGGUGAGUAACACGUGGGUAACCUGCCCAUCAGCGGGGGAUAACACUUGGAAACAGGUGCUAAUACCGCAUAAUUYCAUUUACCGCAUGGUAGAUGGAUGAAAGGCGCUUUUGCGUCACUGAUGGAUGGACCCGCGGUGCAUUAGCUAGUUGGUGGGGUAACGGCCUACCAAGGCUGCGAUGCAUAGCCGACCUGAGAGGGUGAUCGGCCACACUGGGACUGAGACACGGCCCAGACUCCUACGGGAGGCAGCAGUAGGGAAUCUUCGGCAAUGGACGCAAGUCUGACCGAGCAACGCCGCGUGAGUGAAGAAGGUUUUCGGAUCGUAAAACUCUGUUGUUAGAGAAGAACAAGGAUGAGAGUGGAAAGUUCAUCCCUUGACGGUAUCUAACCAGAAAGCCACGGCUAACUACGUGCCAGCAGCCGCGGUAAUACGUAGGUGGCAAGCGUUGUCCGGAUUUAUUGGGCGUAAAGCGAGCGCAGGCGGUCUUUUAAGUCUGAUGUGAAAGCCCCCGGCUUAACCGGGGAGGGUCAUUGGAAACUGGGAGACUUGAGUGCAGAAGAGGAAAGCGGAAUUCCAUGUGUAGCGGUGAAAUGCGUAG
rnacentral:rRNA from 1 species